UGAGUUCAAAGCGUGACCCAACUCCCAAUACUCCAUCAUUUCAAAGCGCGAACAAAAACUCUUCUCUUUCUCUCUUGACAAAAGAUCCCAGCAACUUUCUUCAUCCAACCAAAACCCUAGAUCCCUGCGAUUUUCUUCAUUCCAGUGACUUCCAUGGGAAAGCUCUUCGCCAUCCAAUCCAAACCCUAGAUCUUUUGGUCUGACACAAAUUGGAAUCAGAUUGAUACAUUCAAUUUCAAAGAGAAUGCAAAGCAAGGCUCCACGUACGUGUCUUCGGCAAGGUUUUCCAAUCCCGAAUUCCGACUCUGUUGGUCUCAAUGUUUGCCACCUUCGCCUCAAUCUACUUCUCCAGACGGUUGUAGCAAGAUUCUGAGAACAAGGUUUAUUUGAUUAAAGAGCUUGAUAGGAUUACUGGGCAGGGAACAACAUAAGAAGUUAUCAGUAGUUAAGAUGGAGUUCGCUGCAGCCAAUCAAGAGGGUUAGAGCGUUCAACGCUGAAAAAUGGAACCAGGCAACUGGUGGUGAUUGGAAUUUUUACAAAAUUUGGUUGUAAGAACAAUAGAGAUGCAAUUCGUAAGACUUGGAUGGGAAAUGGUAUUGGUACCCUUUUGGCAAACUAUGAUGACCUCAAAAUAUUUCAAGACCCUGGUAUUGCUUAAGUUGUCAUGUAACUAGAUCAAGGAGGCCAUGAUCUACUGCAAAGUUUUCUCUCAACCCUCCCUCAGCUAGCACAUAUGUAAAGUAUGAUAUAUCAAUCUGCUGAAAAGAUUUCAUUCACAUGCAAGAGAAUCAUCGCCCUACGCACGUAUAAAGAACCUUAAAAGGAAAAGUUACUGGAGAUGAUGAGCAUGUGCAUACGUGUGAAGCUUGUAAUUAAGAGAGGACUGAUCUAACUAACUAAUUUAAAGUCCUAGCCCUUCGUUGAAUGACUAUAAGCACCCAAGGGAAUUCUAGAAUGAGUACUGGACUACCAGCACAAUUGACACUACUUUAGCUUGUUAUCGGUCUAUUUACUGAACCAGAAUUACUUCAAAGUUAGAGAGAAGGGGUUAUUUAUGGGAUGUGUGGUUGAAACUAAAGGCCAAGCUCAAGAGUUGGAAUGGUCGAGGAGUUGAAAAGUGAAUGGUUCUUUCAAGAACCCAGUUAGCAGUUUCAAUGGCUGUGAGAAGUAUAAUAGACCAUUGUGGACAAUCAUUGCAUUAGAAUAGGCAUUAUGUGUGUUCAAGAAAUUAGCAUGUUAUCAACCAGUAUGCUGAGUUUCAUGUCGACAAUCAAAAGAAAGCCAAAAAUCAUUGUUCGUGGGUUAAUUCUAGCAGAAUUUGUAUCAUUAUUAUAAAGGGAGAAAACAUUGUUGGCUGAGAUAUGAAGUGCUCUUGUAAUUUUAGUAAUGUCACAUUGUAUUUUGGUUACUUUUGAGAUCAUUAAUGAAAAUGAUGUAUUUUUGAUGUGAAGACUUGUUAUAUAUUGUAUUU
rnacentral:lncRNA from 1 species